rnacentral:rRNA from 1 species
UACAGAGGUCUCAAGCGUUGUUCGGAUUCAUUGGGCGUAAAGGGUGCGUAGGUGGCGGGGCAAGUUUGGUGUGAAAUCCCGGGGCUCAACCUCGGAACUGCACUGAAUACUGACCUUGCUAGAGCACUGGAGAGGGAACUGGAAUUUACGGUGUAGCAGUGAAAUGCGUAGAUAUCGUAAGGAAGACCAGUGGCGAAGGCGAGUUCCUGGACAGUUGCUGACACUGAGGCACGA